rnacentral:rRNA from 1 species
CUCCGGUGAUCCUGCCGGACCCGACUGCUAUCAGAGUGGGGCUAAGCCAUGCGAGUCAACAUAGCAAUAUGUGGCAUACGGCUCAGUAACACGUAGUCAACAUGCCCAGGGGACGUGGAUAACCUCGGGAAACUGAGGAUAAACCGCGAUAGGUCAUCACUUCUGGAAUGGGUAAUGACUUAAAUCUAUAUGGCCCCUGGAUUGGACUGCGGCCGAUCAGGCUGUUGGUGAGGUAAUGGCCCACCAAACCUGUAACCGGUACGGGCUCUGAGAGGAGGAGCCCGGAGAUGGGCACUGAGACAAGGGCCCAGGCCCUAUGGGGCGCAGCAGGCGCGAAACCUCUGCAAUAGGCGAAAGCUUGACAGGGUUACUCUGAGUGAUUUCCGUUAAGGAGAUCUUUUGGCACCUCUAAAAAUGGUGCAGAAUAAGGGGUGGGCAAGUCUGGUGUCAGCCGCCGCGGUAAUACCAGCACCCCGAGUGGUCGGGACGUUUAUUGGGCCUAAAGCAUCCGUAGCCGGUUCUACAAGUCUUCCGUUAAAUCCACCUGCUUAACAGAUGGGCUGCGGAAGAUACUAUAGAGCUAGGAGGCGGGAGAGGCAAGCGGUACUCGAUGGGUAGGGGUAAAAUCCGUUGAUCCAUUGAAGACCACCAGUGGCGAAGGCGGCUUGCCAGAACGCGCUCGACGGUGAGGGAUGAAAGCUGGGGGAGCAAACCGGAUUAGAUACCCGGGUAGUCCCAGCUGUAAACGAUGCAGACUCGGUGAUGAGUUGGCUUAUUGCUAACUCAGUGCCGCAGGGAAGCCGUUAAGUUUGCCGCCUGGGGAGUACGGUCGCAAGACUGAAACUUAAAGGAAUUGCCGGGGGAGCA